GUUGGAUUCCUGUAAUCAUUUACGUAAUUUUUCCUCCCUCUCUUGUUUUGCCACUCUUCACAAAUCCAAAGCACUUUGGCGGUUCGGUAAUUUGGCAGUUCAGCACUUCGAACAUUCGGAAGUGUCCUAAUGUCUGAAUUGUCGAAAUUUGGUCGAAUUUACAUUCGUAACGAAACGAAUUGCACAUGUCUAAUGUGAACGUAGGUCGGAUUAACUGAAAUCCUGGAAUUGGGACAGUUGUAGCUCCUGUAUUAGCACAACCAUGAUUUUCAAAGGCGACCUUCACCUACCCUUCUCAUUACAAAUAUCUGCAUGCAUUUCAGUUCUACAUCACUUGCCCUUUUAUUUUGAUCUUGUUUUGACAGAAUUCCAAUAACCUUUGACAAUUACAUAUAUAUUGUUAGGACUUCUUUGGCAUGUUUUCUACAAGCUUAUUCACUAUAUAUGUGGAAUGUUAUUGUGUAU